rfam:Schistosoma curassoni strain Dakar, Senegal genome assembly, scaffold: SCTD_scaffold0004529
NCACUGCUGAGGAGUCCCAUACUAGGACGAAACGGCCGUCCAGUGC